CAACAGUCUUGGCACUUCUCUCCUGAAGGACCUUGGGUUGGAGGUUUGAAAACAGGUUUCUGGACUUUUGUGAUACCAGCUGCAGAGACGAAUCUUUUGAACUGGCUGCUGGCAGCUAGAACAGAGGAUUGAAGACUCACUUCUCCACUGGACCUGUUUUGGACAUUUUUCAUCUGAAGAUCCUGGCCCACUUGAUUGGACUCCACUUGUCAUCGCCUUCAGCAUUGAAACUGGGAUCCUUUUCUACUAACGUCUAAGGAGACCUCAGCAUGAGCUAUAUUCUGAAAUUCCCAGAGAAAGCUCAGGAUAGAGGCAAAGAUACUCCUAUACUUUGGUGCUGUUCUGGAUUGCAACCUCCUUGCCUCAAUUAAAGAUCCUUCUUGCUAUAUUGUUCUCUCUAUUUCAAGGUUGAUAGCUAUUUGUGACCUGCCAUCUUGGGCAAGCCAAGAUGGAGAAACUAAGACUUCAACAGGUUGUGAGAAGGGGGAAAAAGACUCAAAAUGGAGUGGCCAAGAUGAUUAUUCAUCCAUCCAUCCAUCCAUCUACCCAUCCAUCCAUCCAUCCAUCCACUUACUAGAGUCUCCUUUCAAGGAUGUACAGUAUAGCCUGGUGGAAAUGUAGAUCUCCAUGGAAACUGGUGAGGUGAAAUCACUCAAGUGUUGACAAGCAGAGUUCUUCUCCACGGCAUAGGAAGUGGAGAAACGUCUCACAGCUGCCCAGAAGAGGAAUAAACCUGCGACUCUGUAUAUUAAACA
rnacentral:lncRNA from 1 species